rnacentral:lncRNA from 1 species
AUAAUAAUAAGAAGAAGAAGAAUAAGAAUAAGAAGAAGAAGAAGAAGAAGAAGAAGAAGAAGAAAAGAAAAAGAAAAGAAGAAGAAGGAGAAGAAGAAUAAGAGGAAAAAAGAAAAAGAAAAUAAGAAUAAGAAGAAGAAGAAGAAGAAAAGAAAAGAAGAAGAAGGAGAAGAAGAAUAAGAGGAAAAAAUAAAAAAGAAAAUAAGAAUAAGAAGA